AGCGAACGCUGGCGGCAGGCCUAACACAUGCAAGUCGAACGGACCUUUCGGGGUUAGUGGCGGACGGGUGAGUAACACGUGGGAACGUGCCUUUAGGUUCGGAAUAGCUCCUGGAAACGGGUGGUAAUGCUGAGUGUGACUUUAGGGGGGAAGAUUUAUCGCCUUUAGAGGGGCCCGCGUCUGAUUAGCUAGUUGGUGAGGUAAUGGCUCACCAAGGCUACGAUCAGUAGCUGGUCUGAGAGGAUGACCAGCCACAUUGGGACUGAGACACGGCCCAAACUCCUACGGGAGGCAGCAGUGGGGAAUCUUGCGCAAUGGGCGAAAGCCUGACGCAGCCAUGCCGCGUGGAUGAUGAAGGUCUUAGGAUUGUAAAAUCCUUUCACCGGUGAAGAUAAUGACUGUAGCCGGAGAAGAAGCCCCGGCUAACUUCGUGCCAGCCGCCGCCGUAA
rnacentral:rRNA from 1 species